CGCACAGCGAAAGGUGCUUGCACCUUUCAAGUGAGUGGCGAACGGCCGAUUAACACGUGGACAACCUGCCUCAAGGCUGGGGAUAACAUCUGGAAACAGAUGCUAAUACCGAAUAAAACUUAGUGUCGCAUGACACAAAGUUAAAAGGCGCUUCGGCGUCACCUAGAGAUGGAUCCGCGGUGCAUUAGUUAGUUGGUGGGGUAAAGGCCUACCAAGACAAUGAUGCAUAGCCGAGUUGAGAGACUGAUCGGCCACAUUGGGACUGAGACACGGCCCAAACUCCUACGGGAGGCUGCAGUAGGGAACCUUCCACAAUGGGCGAAAGCCUGAUGGAGCAACGCCGCGUGUGUGAUGAAGGCUUUCGGGUCGUAAAGCACUGUUGUAUGGGAAGAACAGCUAGAAUAGGAAAUGAUUUUAGUUUGACGGUACCAUACCAGAAAGGGACGGCUAAAUACGUGCCAGCAGCCGCGGUAAUACGUAUGUCCCGAGCGUUAUCCGGAUUUAUUGGGCGUAAAGCGAGCGCAGACGGUUUAUUAAGUCUGAUGUGAAAGCCCGGAGCUCAACUCCGGAAUGGCAUUGGAAACUGGUUAACUUGAGUGCAGUAGAGGUAAGUGGAACUCCAUGUGUAGCGGUGGAAUGCGUAGAUAUAUGGAAGAACACCAGUGGCGAAGGCGGCUUACUGGACUGCAACUGACGUUGAGGCUCGAAAGUGUGGGUAGCAAACAGGAUUAGAUACCCUGGUAGUCCACACCGUAAAACGAUGAACACUA
rnacentral:rRNA from 1 species